AUGCCGGCGACGGAGGAGGAAGGCGCGGCGGCGGCGGCGGAGGAGGAGGAGGCGUACGAGCAGGAGGACGGGGACGGGGAGGAGUACGACGAGGAUGAGGAGGAGGGGUACGAGUUCGGCGACGCGGCGGACGCGGCGCAGUGCGUGGAGAUGGCGGAGCGGGGGCCCGGCGGCGCCGUGGCCACCGUCAGCAUCCGGGACUUCGAGGCCCUGGCGGCGCUGUCGCGCAAGCGGAAGGCCCUCCCCGAGGAGCCGCCGCAGGGGGACGAGCCCUCCAAGCGGAGGAGGCAGCAGGGCGAGCUCUCCGAGGCGGAGUCGGCGAACCUCUUCGACCAGCUGAUGGAGGGGUUCGGCCUCCGGCGGAAGAAGCGGCGGCGGUCCAAGGACGGCAAGAGGAAGGGGCGGGCGAGAGGGCGGAGGAACCGGUGCAGCCCCGAGGUCAUCAAGAAGCUGGGCGACGCCACCCUGCUCUUCACGGAGAACAGGUUCAAGGAGGCCAUCCCCAUCCUGCACGAGAUCGUCCGGAUCGCGCCCAACCUGCCCAACUCGUACAACCUGCUCGGCAGCAUCUACAAGGAGAACGGCGAGAUCGACAAGGCCAUCAACUUCGUGAUGCUGGCCGCCUACGUCUCGCCGAAGGACGUGUCGCUGUGGAAGAAGCUCAUCGACCUGGCUCUGAAGAAGGAAGAUGCUGCUCUGGCAAGACACUGUGUUAUCAAGGCAAUGAGGGCUGAUCCGGAGGAUGUGGGGCUCAAGUUUGAUUGCGCGAACAUAUAUCGCACCCUAGGCGACUGUCACAAAGCCGCGGAGAUAUACGAGCAGAUUGUCGGGAUCCAUCCUUCCAACACCGUCGCCCGUAGAGCGGCAGCACAGAUGUACAGAGACUCUGGUCAAAUUGAUAAGGCUAUUGAUUUGUUGGAGGAUUUUAUCAAUGCUCAAACUUCAAACAUCGACUGGGGUCUUCUUGAUUUACUGAUAUCCCUUCAUCUGAGAAAUGAUGCCCAUGGUGAAGCUCUUAGGCAGAUCAAGAAGGCACAGCUGGUGUUGGGAUCUGGACACAAAUUACCAGUACGAUUGCAGGCAAAAGCAGUAAUCUGCCAUGCUUAUCUUGGAGAUAUGAAACAUGCUGAGGUGUUCCUUCAGGAUGUGCAUCUGGGGCGUUCAAAAGAGAAUGCUGAUAUGGUUAAGGAGGUCGCCAGCACUCUUCAAAGUUUGGGGCAGUAUGAGUAUGCACUAAAAUUUUACUCGGUUAUGGAAGACGUUGCUGUUCACAAUGAUGGUAGUUCAUAUGUGGAAGCUGCUCGAUGCUACAUGGUAAUGGGGGAGAAAGAAAAGGCUAUCCCUUACCUCUAUAAAGCUUUAGAAGGGAUGGAGGACAAUGUCGAUGUACGGAUAACCUUAUCUUCUCUUCUCGUUGACGAGGAUAAGAGUGAUAAAGCUAUCACUGUGCUUUCUCCUCCUCCUGAAAAUCCAGAGUUGCAGUCCGCUGAUAUCCCGGAUCAUCAGAAACCUUGGUGGCUUCAUGGGGAAGUAAAGAUGCAGCUUGCCAAACUUUAUUACAACAAAGGCAUGAUGGAGAAAUUUGUGGAAACCAUUUUUCUUCCCAUUCUCGAGACACUGGAUAUCGAGUAUGCUAAUAGAAAGGUCAAGAUGAAUAGAAAGCUUACAAAUGAUGUUCUGCAGGAAAGAACUAAAGUGCUGGGGGAAGCGCGUCAAGACAGCGUAUUUCAAGGAUGCAGGCCUAUAGCAUCGACUGCAGAGUUAGUGAAGGCAAACAGAGCAAGGAAAUUGCUAGAAAAAAGGGCAGCAGAGUCAAAUGAAGAUACAAUAAGAGAUGAUACACGUAGAGCAAAGCAGAAACCUCCUCUUCCUGGUCUGCUGACAAAUGUGGAGAACCAUCAGCUUGUGUUAGAUCUCUGUCGAACACUGACUUUGCUUCAGCGAUACUUUGAGGCGCUGCAAAUUAUCAAUCAUGCUCUUAAACUUGGAAAUGACCCCCUCUCUGAUGACAUCAAGGAGGAACUCCGGUCCUUGGGUGCUGAAAUAGCAUACAGAGCUCCAGAUCCCAGUCCUGGUUUUGAUUAUGUCCGUUAUGUAGUUCACAAGCACCCGCAAUCCAUCUCCGCAUGGAACUCCUACUACAAAGUAACAUCAAGAGCAGAAGAGAAAGGUCAUUUUAAGUUUCUUCUUCGGGCAAGAAGGGAUCCCAAGUGUGUGCCCCCUAAAAUCAUAUCUGGGCAUCGAUUUACUGCUAUCAGUCAACACCAGUCCGCUGUUCGGGAUUAUCUGGAGGCAUACAAGCUGGACCCGGAGAAUCCUCUAAUCAAUCUCUGUGUUGGUUCGUCCUUGAUCAACCUCUCCCUGGGCUUCAGGCUACAGAACAAGAACCAGUGCAUCGUCCAGGCGUUUGCGUUCCUCUACAAGUGCCUGCGCAUCGGCAGCAACAGGCAGGAGGCCCUGUACAACAUCGCCCGGGCGUACCACCAUGUCGGCCUCAAAACCCUGGCGGUCAUCUACUACGAGAAGGUUUUAGCCAUGGAGGUGGAAGAUCACCCCAUACCUAAGCUUCCAUUCGAGGAUUUACAUGAGCACCAGGAUUUCAGGCCUGGCUACUGCGAUCUCCGAAGAGAGGCUGCAUUCAAUCUGCAUCUGAUCUACAAGGAAAGCGGAGCAACUGAUCUGGCGAGGAGGAUCCUCAAGACCUACUGUUCUAUUUAG
rnacentral:rRNA from 1 species